rnacentral:tRNA from 1 species
GAGAUAUUAGAAAAAUUAUUUCAUAGUUUUGUCAAAGCUAAAUUAUAGGAAGCACCCUAUAUAUCUUA